rnacentral:rRNA from 1 species
AAUCUCUGAUCCUUUGGGGUUGUCCCAUUCUCUCGUAGAAUGAUGUGACGAUUCUUGGGAUCUUCCUGGUUGAAAGCACUUCUGCCCUUUAUUGGGUUGGUUGUGUAAUCUGCCUCCUUUACUGUGAGAAAAACAAAGUGCUCAAAGCAGGCUUUACAGCUUGAAUGCGUUAGCAUGGAAUAAUAAGAUAGGACUUGGUUUCUAUUUUGUUGGCUCUGAGAAACGAAGUAAUGAUUGAUAGGGAUAGUUGGGGGUGCUCGUAUUUAAUGGUCAGCGGUGAAAUGCAUGGACCCAUUAAAGACGAACCUAUGCGAAAGCAUU